AGUACAAUGUUUCUGUUACAGUAUACCUGGUACCUAAUUCUUGGUGCACCGUUCGACUUCACUGUCUUCUGCGGAGAUGGUGGUGUGUAGUGCUGGUGGAAAAUCUACACCUGGAGGGGCAUGGAAGACGGUUUGCCCAUUUCACCAAAGAGGGGAAAGACAUGAUCAAUGGGCUUCUUGCACCUAUCUUCAGACUGAAGAGGAAAAAACCCAAUGAAGAGACAAAUGACCCUUGGAUAAUGGCAGACCACUGCUAUGCCAAAAAAACAAUUGUCCAUCAAACAGAG